rnacentral:tRNA from 1 species
UCCCUGGUGCUCAGACGGUAAAGCGUCUGCCUGCAAUGCGGGAGACCCGGGUUCGAUUCCUGGGUUGGGAA